CAACUUCCUUGCAGUUGGUUUGUUGCGAGGUUCUGUACAGAAACAACCGGGUCACACUUCCCAGCGGGAUGAUGUCGGCGGUUUCACUCAGUCUGUUCCUGGCGUUAAUAGUCCGUGUCCAUUCCGAUAUCGUUCUCACUCAGCCCAAGACAGAGACCGGCACUCCUGGAGGCUCCAUCACACUGACCUGUAAAACCAGCGGGUUCACUCUUAGCAGCACCUGGAUGUCUUUGGUCCGUCAGGUCCCCGGGCAGGGGCUGGAGUGGCUGCUUCAAUACUACGGUUCUUCUAACAAGUACUUCGCUCCGGGGAUAGAGAGCCGAUUUACUCCGUCCAAAGACAAUUCGAUGUUCACCGUGAUCGCCAGGAACCUGAGGAUCGAAGACACCGCUGUCUAUUACUGUGCGAGAGACACAGUACACCGUGACUAUCUUGACUACUGGGGAGGAGGCACCAUGGUGACGGUAACCAGCGCGGCUCCAUCCGCGCCCAGCCUCUUCAUUCUCUACACCUGCGAGGAUCACGGCUCCAGUGGUUCGUUCACCUAUGGUUGUUUGGCGUUGGGCUAUUCCCCUGCGGGCGCCAGUGUUUCUUGGAAGAAAGAUGAUAAACAACUGACCACCGGAGUGAAGGACUACCCAGCAGUGUUCAAUGAGUUGGGAACUUACACCCGGAUCAGCGAGUUAACCAUCUCCGAGGCGGAGGCAGGGAGAGGCGACAUCGUCUGCGUGGUUCAGCACAACCAAAAAGACUAUGUAGCGAAUGUAUCAGACCCCGUGUUACAUCAUCCUACCGUCACCAUUACCAUAACUGCCCGUGAUGAAAUCACGCGCAGCAAAAAAGCUAUCGCCGUGUGUUUGGUCAACGAUUUCACUCCAGCGACAUUUACUGUGAACUGGCUGAAGAAUGGCGCGCCAUUGGAUUCUGGCAUCGUCACCUCUCCCGCCUUCCAGGUGAACGGUAACGGUAACUUCUCGGCGACCAGCCAGUUGACAUUCCCAGCUGGAGAGUGGUUCAGAGGUUCCGUCUAUACCUGCCAAGUCCACCAUGAAAAAGAUUUGAAAAGCCAAAACAUCAGUAGGUCUGAAGAUGAUUGUCCCUGCGAUGAACCGAAGAUUACAAUCCUUCCCCCACCUGUUGAACAAGAGUUAAUGGAUACGACCGUAACGUUAACCUGUCGGGUAUCCGAUGCACCUUAUGGUAUCAUAGUAUCUUGGUACCACAUAAAGGUACAUUUGGAAUCAGAGAUCCAGCCCACAGGACAUGAAGAUAUCGUAGAGAGCAAAGUCAACAUUUCAACUCGUGACUGGCUGAGUGGGGAUUAUUUUGAAUGCGUGGUGAGCCAUGAAGAUAUGCCGACUCCAAAAACUGGACGAAUCAACUGGAAGAAAGGUCAACAUCUGCUGACACCGUCCGUCUCAGUCCUUCUGCCGCCGACAGAAGAAAUCUCUGCGCACAAGACUAUCACCCUCACCUGCUUUGUGAGAGGAUUCUCCCCUCGCAGGGUCUUUGUCACGUGGACAGUUGAUGACAAGCGGGUGGAUGAGAGCAAGUACAAGAACACCGAGGUGGUGGCGGAGAACGACAAUGACACCUUCUUCACGUACAGCCUGUUAUCCGUUGGGGCAGAGCAGUGGGCUAGCGGAACCUCCUUCUCCUGUCUGGUGGGGCACGAAGCACUCCCCAUGAAGACCAUCGUCAGAACGGUCAAUAAGUCCAGCGAUUACGCCGACAACGUUCCUCUUGAGGACUAUGAGGAAGACAGAGACAACAUCUGGACAACCGCUUCCACAUUCAUUAUCAUGUUCUUCCUGAGCAUUUCCUACGGCGCUGCCGUAACUCUGGUAAAGGUCAAGUGA